AUUGAACGCUGGCGGCAGGCCUAACACAUGCAAGUCGAACGAGGGGCGGACGGGUGAGUAAUGUAUGGGAAACUGCCUGAUGGAGAGGGCUAAAUACUGGAAACGGUAGCUAAUACCGCAAACCAUCAGAUGACCCCAUAUGGGAUUAGCUUGUAGGUGGGGUAACGGCUCACCUAGGCGCCGAUCCCUAGCUGGUCUGAGAGGAUGACCAGCCACACUGGAACUGAGACACGGUCCAGACUCCUACGGGAGGCAGCAGUGGGGAAUAUUGCACAAUGGGCGCAAGCCUGAUGGACCCAUGCCGCGGGUGUGAAGAAGGCCUUCGGGUUGUAAAGUACUUUCAGCGUGGAGGCGUUACCCGCAGAAGAAGCACCGGCUAACUCCGUGCCAGCAGCCGCGGUAAUAC
rnacentral:rRNA from 1 species